AUUUGGAGAGGAUGCUUUUGGCGCGGCGCCGUCCGAGUUCCUUGGAACAGGACGCCAGAGAGGGUGAGAGCCCCGUACGGACGGACGCCUAGCCUCUACAAAGCUCCUUCGACGAGUCGAGUAGUUUGGGAAUGCUGCUCUAAAUGGGAGGUAAAUUUCUUCUAAAGCUAAAUACCGGCCAGAGACCGAUAGCGCACAAGUAGAGUGAUCGAAAGAUGAAAAGCACUUUGAAAAGAGGGUUAAACAGUACGUGAAAUUGUUGAAAGGGAAGCGCCUGUGACCAGACUUGCGCCCCGCGGACCAACCGGCGCUCCGCGCCGGUGCACUCCGCGGGGUGCAGGCCAGCAUCGGUUCUCCCAGGGGGACAAAGGCCGCGGGAACGUAGCUCCCUCGGGAGUGUUAUAGCCCGCGGCGGCAUGCCCCUGGGGGGACCGAGGACCGCGCUUCGGCAAGGAUGCUGGCGUAAUGGUCACCAGCGACCCGUCUUGAAACACGGACCAAGGAGUCAAGCAUUGGGGCGAGUGUUUGGGUGUCAAACCCGCACGCGAAAUGAAAGUAAACGCAGGGGAGAGCUUCGGCGCAUCCCCGACCGAUCCUGAUGUCUUCGGAUGGAUUUGAGUAAGAGCCUUACCGCUUGGACCCGAAAGAUGGUGAACUAUGCCUGUGUAGGGUGAAGCCAGAGGAAACUCUGGUGGAGG
rnacentral:rRNA from 1 species